UGGGGAAUUUUGGACAAUGGGCGAAAGCCUGAUCCAGCAAUGCCGCGUGUGUGAAGAAGGCCUUCGGGUUGUAAAGCACUUUUGUCCGGAAAGAAAUCCUUGGCUCUAAUACAGUCGGGGGAUGACGGUACCGGAAGAAUAAGCACCGGCUAACUACGUGCCAGCAGCCGCGGUAAUACGUAGGGUGCAAGCGUUAAUCGGAAUUACUGGGCGUAAAGCGUGCGCAGGCGGUUUGCUAAGACCGAUGUGAAAUCCCCGGGCUCAACCUGGGAACUGCAUUGGUGACUGGCAGGCUAGAGUAUGGCAGAGGGGGGUAGAAUUCCACGUGUAGCAGUGAAAUGCGUAGAGAUGUGGAGGAAUACCGAUGGCGAAGGCAGCCCCCUGGGCCAAUACUGACGCUCAUGCACGAAAGCGUGGGGAGCAAACAGGAUUAGAUACCCUGGUAGUCCACGCCCUAAACGAUGUCAACUAGUUGUUGGGGAUUCAUUUCCUUAGUAACGUAGCUAACGCGUGAAGUUGGC
rnacentral:rRNA from 1 species